GAUGAACGCUGGCGGCGUGCUUAAUACAUGCAAGUCGAGCGGAAGGACGCGACGCUUGCUUCUUUGAUGUUAGCGGAGGACGGGUGAGUCACACGUGGAUACCCUCCUUAUCAGACUGGGAUCAUUUCGGGACACCGGCGAUAAUCCCGGAUAAUAUUUUGCACCGCAUGGUUCAAAAGUAAAAGACGGUCUUGCUGUCACUACUAGAUGGAUAUGCGCUGCAUUAGCUAGUUGGUAAGGUAACGGCUUACCAAGGCAACGAUGCAUAGCCGGCCUGGGAGGGUGAUCGGCCAGACAGGGAGUGAGACACGGUCCAGACUCCGACGGGGGGCAGCAUUAGGCAAGCGGCCGCAGUGGGCGAAAGCCUAACGUGGCAGCGCCGCGUAAGUGAUGAAGGUCUGCGGAGCGUAAAGCUCUGUGAGUAGGAAAGAGCAUAUGUGUAAGUAGCUGUGCACAUCAUGACAGUACCUAAUCAGAAAGCCACGGCUAACGAC
rnacentral:rRNA from 1 species